UUGAACGCUGGCGGCAGGCCUAACACAUGCAAGUCGAACGGUAACAGGAAGCAGCUUGCUGCUUUGCUGACGAGUGGCGGACGGGUGAGUAAUGUCUGGGAAACUGCCCGAUGGAGGGGGAUAACUACUGGAAACGGUAGCUAAUACCGCAUAACGUCGCAAGACCAAAGAGGGGGACCUUAGGGCCUCUUGCCAUCGGAUGUGCCCAGAUGGGAUUAGCUAGUAGGUGGGGUAAUGGCUCACCUAGGCGACGAUCCCUAGCUGGUCUGAGAGGAUGACCAGCCACACUGGAACUGAGACACGGUCCAGACUCCUACGGGAGGCAGCAGUGGGGAAUAUUGCACAAUGGGCGCAAGCCUGAUGCAGCCAUGCCGCGUGUAUGAAGAAGGCCUUCGGGUUGUAAAGUACUUUCAGCGGGGAGGAAGGGAGUAAAGUUAAUACCUUUGCUCAUUGACGUUACCCGCAGAAGAAGCACCGGCUAACUCCGUGCCAGCAGCCGCGGUAAUACGGAGGGUGCAAGCGUUAAUCGGAAUUACUGGGCGUAAAGCGCACGCAGGCGGUUUGUUAAGUCAGAUGUGAAAUCCCCGGGCUCAACCUGGGAACUGCAUCUGAUACUGGCAAGCUUGAGUCUCGUAGAGGGGGGUAGAAUUCCAGGUGUAGCGGUGAAAUGCGUAGAUAUAUGGAGGAACACCAGUGGCGAAAGCGGCUCUCUGGUCUGUCACUGACGCUGAGGCUCGAAAGCGUGGGUAGCGAACAGGAUUAGAUACCCUGGUAGUCCACGCCGUAAACGAUGUCGACUUGGAGGUUGUGCCCUUGAGGCGUGGCUUCCGGAGCUAACGCGUUAAGUCGACCGCCUGGGGAGUACGGCCGCAAGGUUAAAACUCAAAUGAAUUGACGGGGGCCCGCACAAGCGGUGGAGCAUGUGGUUUAAUUCGAUGCAACGCGAAGAACCUUACCUGGUCUUGACAUCCACGGAAGUUUUCAGAGAUGAGAAUGUGCCUUCGGGAACCGUGAGACAGGUGCUGCAUGGCUGUCGUCAGCUCGUGUUGUGAAAUGUUGGGUUAAGUCCCGCAACGAGCGCAACCCUUAUCCUUUGUUGCCAGCGGUCCGGCCGGGAACUCAAAGGAGACUGCCAGUGAUAAACUGGAGGAAGGUGGGGAUGACGUCAAGUCAUCAUGGCCCUUACGACCAGGGCUACACACGUGCUACAAUGGCGCAUACAAAGAGAAGCGACCUCGCGAGAGCAAGCGGACCUCAUAAAGUGCGUCGUAGUCCGGAUUGGAGUCUGCAACUCGACUCCAUGAAGUCGGAAUCGCUAGUAAUCGUGGAUCAGAAUGCCACGGUGAAUACGUUCCCGGGCCUUGUACACACCGCCCGUCACACCAUGGGAGUGGGUUGCAAAAGAAGUAGGUAGCUUAACCUUCGGGAGGGCGCUUACCACUUUGUGAUUCAUGACUGGGGUG
rnacentral:rRNA from 1 species